rnacentral:rRNA from 1 species
UACGGGGGGAGCAAGCGUUGUUCGGAUUUACUGGGCGUAAAGGGCGCGUAGGCGGCCUUCUAAGUCAGACGUGAAAUCCCUCGGCUCAACCGGGGAACUGCGUCUGAGACUGAAAGGCUUGAAUCCGGGAGAGGGAUGUGGAAUUCCAGGUGUAGCGGUGAAAUGCGUAGAUAUCUGGAGGAACACCGGUGGCGAAGGCGGCAUCCUGGACCGGUAUUGACGCUGAGGCGCGAAAGCCAGGGGAGCAAACGGG